UACCAGCACCCCGAGUGGUCGGGACGUUUUAUUGGGCCUAAAGCAUCCGUAGCCGGUUCUACAAGUCUUCCGUUAAAUCCACCUGCUUAACAGAUGGGCUGCGGAAGAUACUAUGGAGCUAGGAGGCGGGGAGAGGCAAGCGGUACUCGAUGGGUAGGGGUAAAAUCCGUUGAUCCAUUGAAGACCACCAGUGGCGAAGGCGGCUUGCCAGAACGCGCUCGACGGUGAGGGAUGAAAGCUGGGG
rnacentral:rRNA from 1 species